rnacentral:tRNA from 1 species
GAGGGUAUAGCUCCAGUGGUAGAGCGCAUGCUUAGCAUGCACGAGGUCUGGGGUUCAAUUCCCACUACCUCUU